AUGUCAUUGGCAGCCCCAUGGAGAGGAAGAGAGCCCCCUGCUCCCAGCCAUGUGAGUGAGCUUGGAGGUGGACCCUCCAGCCCUGAGCAAGGCCUCACAGACUGCAGGCCCAGUGGACAGCCUGGUUGCUGCUUGUGAGACCCCUGAGGAACCACCAGCUAAGCUACUCCCAGAUCUCUGCGAACAACUGCCUCAGGGCAGCAACAGUGCCCCAACACCAUGGCCCUGACUUAUGUCACCAUUCUCAGGAAAUUCUUUCUUAAUGACACCCUCCUCAAAUUAUCUUCUGGUUCUUGCUGACAUGGGACUGGUACAAACCCUAGCCUAGCAGCCAUGGGGAGCCACAGGACUUUGAGCAGAGAAACAAUGUGGCUGACUUCUAACAGGGACUUAGACUCUUCAACUUCUGCCUGCAAAUGUCCAACAGAACAACAGGUCUAAUUGAUAAACAUCUUGUGAGAAGUCAAACCACCUCCAGGCAACAGCAACUUUCUUAUCUCUGACAAGGCCCCACCUGGUCAAUCCUGAGGUAAUGAUCAACUAAAGCCCUUGUCUGUGUAAUCUGAGCUCAUGUCAGUACCUUGAAGACAGGGCUGAGACACUUGCUCUCACUUUGCUUUCCCUGAAGAGCCAUGAUUAAAGUUCCUUUCCUGCUUUUCACUGUUAACUUUUUCUGUUUCAUUCUGGGACAAGUAACUGGAUCUGAUUUGUUGGGACCUCCGGGUUUUACCUCUGGCCUGGGACUCCAGUGCCAAGAUUCGUGUUUUUGAAAGCCCACCAUGGCUGUGCAUGUGGUGGG